rnacentral:misc_RNA from 1 species
AACGCAUCUUGCGCUCCUUGGUAUUCUGAGGAGCAUGCCUGUUUGAGUGUCAUCAAGUUCUCAACCCGCAUCCUUUUUGAAGGGAUGUGGAUUUGGAUUAUGGAGUUUGCAGGCUUGAUUGAAAGGUCUGCUCCUCUGAAAUGUAUUAGUGGCAAUGUGGAAAAGCUACUGUGGGUGUGAUAACUAUCUAUGCCUAUGCAGUGCUCUGCUGUGUGCCGCUUUGGAGGGAGAAAUUUAUUUCUGACAAACUUGACCUCAAAUCAGGUAGGACUACCCGCUGAACUUAA